rnacentral:rRNA from 1 species
AUUGAACGCUGGCGGCAUGCCUUACACAUGCAAGUCGAACGGCAGCACGGGAGCAAUCCUGGUGGCGAGUGGCGAACGGGUGAGUAAAGUAUCGGAACGUGCCCAGUCGUGGGGGAUAACGUAGCGAAAGUUACGCUAAUACCGCAUACGAUCUAUGGAUGAAAGCGGGGGAUCGCAAGACCUCGCGCGAUUGGAGCGGCCGAUACCAGAUUAGGUAGGUGGUGGGGUAAAGGCUCACCAAGCCGACGAUCUGUAGCUGGUCUGAGAGGACGACCAGCCACACUGGGACUGAGACACGGCCCAGACUCCUACGGGAGGCAGCAGUGGGGAAUUUUGGACAAUGGGCGCAAGCCUGAUCCAGCCAUGCCGCGUGCAGGAUGAAGGCCUUCGGGUUGUAAACUGCUUUUGUACGGAACGAAAAGGUUUGGCCUAAUACGCUGAACUCAUGACGGUACCGUAAGAAUAAGCACCGGCUAACUACGUGCCAGCAGCCGCGGUAA